CGGCUCCAAAAUACUCCACAUCAUAACAACCCGGGUUUAAAAUGCAGUUUUUCCACUUUGUUGAGUGUCAUUGUGGGGGAAAAAUGCCUGCGUUUUGCUCCAGGACAAAGAGAAACAGCAUCAACCGCCCACAUCGACUCCAGAUCCACAUGCAGUAAAGCAUGUCGCUGUGUGAAGUAAAGCACGCGUCUCCGGCUGACACGCUACCUGGCUACAACAGUCAGGAGGCAGGGAAACGGCGGAGCGGCGAGGCGUGGACAUGACGACUGCAGAGGUGAAAACAGAUUAAUCCCGAGUCCUGAUGGCAGCUGAAGAAAGAGGAAGAGACUCGGCUUCUUUACUGUGUUUCAUUUUCAAAAUAAAGCUAAUUUUGUCUGUUA